AACGACCAAAGAGGCCAGCUUUCGCUCGGUGAGGUACCACCGUUAUCGGUCCAUGAUCACAGUUGCCAACGACAACCGUGCUCCGGUGGCGCUGGCCGCGUAAGCGGCUCGCAAGACCAAAACUAAGCCCUUGCGGUUAGCACCGUAAGGCGGGGCCCGCCGGAGCCUGGCAACAGAAUCCGGUACC
rnacentral:tmRNA from 1 species